rnacentral:lncRNA from 1 species
AUGCGCCCGGAGCGGCGGGAGGGAAGGAGGAGGCGAGGGAAGGAGCCCCCGACCUCUGAGCCAAGGGUGACAAUCAAAUUUCAGAGGAGGAGGCUGAAGCAGCAUAAAAGCGGAACAGAGCCAAGACCUCUUCCCCCCGGCAAGAGAUGGCUGAAGGGCAACCGUGGUACAUUGUACAAGAAAAUGGUACGUGUCUUGUUAAAAUGGAUUAUAUCACCCAUGGAUUCCCCUGUUGGAGAGCCUUUAAGAUGAAGUGCAUAAGUGGAAGAUUCCCAGCAGCAUGCCCCAAGUGAUUUUUCCUGCCAAACACUAACCUCAUAACUGAUAUCCAGGACUGGACAUAUAGGG